CCCUCCUACAAAGGCAUGUCUAUAGUUCCUUGUCUUUGGACAUGUAAGAAUUGGAGGCACAGAAAUGUGGACUUGGGAGAAAUCUGGGGCUGGCUUGCUCAUCACAGGCUCAACAUCAACCAUGCCACAUAG
ensembl:snoRNA